UCCAACCCUCUAUCCCAACCCAGCACUAUGCCGCCGCCGCCCCCUAUCCUCUUUCUCUAUACGGGCGCGCAGCCUCAUCCUCCCCCAACCUGGUCGCCGGCAGCCCCUGCGUCAGGCCCUCUGUUCCCCCCAGCGAGGCCGAGAUGGUAGCACGGCGCGCAGCCCCAUCCUCCCCAGCCUGGUCGCCGGCCAGCCCCUAGCGCUAGGCCCUCCGUUUAUCGGUGGCGGUGUUGGCGUUGAAGGAUGGGGCGAUGAUGCCGUCGGACUCUUGGAAAAGCAACGCAGGCAGAGGAAGAGCACGCGCCCCGGCGUCGGAGGAGGCUUGGCAGGAGAUGGUUGUUCUGCUGCAGGUACGUGAACGGGGUGGCUAGGUUGACAAGCUGGCCUCCUCCGGCAUCCUCUCUUCGCCCCGCUCCGGCUCCAGCCCCUCGCUUGCCGCCUCCUGCGACGCCGAUGUUGAGCUCUCUUGCGAGGCGUGUUCCGCCCGAGCCAGGAGUUCGUCGAGCGCGGCCUCCCCCAACGGGGAGUUCUACAUCUGGCAGUGGCGCGUUGGCGUGCCGCACGACGCUGGGAUGUACUUGUGGAUGGACGGGUGGAUGUACGAGGGGGAGUGGUGGCACGGGCCGGGGCAAGUUCUCCUGGCCGUCGGGCCGGGAGUCACCUUAGAGGGCGAGUUCAAGGACGGCUUCAUGGAUGGCGACGACACCUACACCGCCGCCGCCGGGGAUAGGUACAAGGGCUCCUGGUCCAUGAAACUUAAGCACGGCAACGACAGGAAGAACUACGUCAACGGCGACCAGUAAGACGGCGAGUGGCACUCCGGGCUACAAGACGGCGCCGACCGCUACAUCUUGUGCUCAGCCCUGCAGGCUGCAGCAUAGAGAAUUCUCUUGUGUAUUCAGUUCGGUUAGGUUCAGUUAAGUUGAGUUGAGUGGAGGCAUGCAGCUGUUGUCGGCAGGCCUUGUUCUUCUGGUUCUCGUCCCACGCCUUCACCGACGACAACUUCCGAUUCAUCUCCACCUUCACAAGCACCACGUCUAUACGCGAGUUCAUUCAUUUCGUGUGUUUUUGUAUUCAUACCAAACAAAUUAAAACUGAAAAUCUGCAAACCAAAUUCACCGAAACUUGAAGCAGAGGAUGGACUACAUGAUGUACGUAGCUUUGUAAGUUUCUGAACCUGGAGUUGUUGUUGGCGCUGGGGCUCCAUCAGCAGCAGCAAGACGGAUCGAUCGAUUAGAGUUAGCAACUUAGCAUAGCACCAAACUGAUGCCGGAGUGAUAUAUCCAUGUCUGAACGUUUGUAAACACUGCCACUACCAUUCUAGAGUCACCCUGGUGGACGACGCGCGUAGGAGCGUGAGGACGGCGGGGAGAGCGGGGCGCUUCUGCCGCCGUCGUCCCGGGCGCCACACAUCGCCAAGUGGGUGUCCCCGCGGCAGGCCAAGCAGCAGGAGGAGACCAUCGUAAUUGACGCAAGCACUAGGAGCUCCUACUCAACUUGCAGCUCGGGAUCAGGUGGGUUGCUUCGGUCAUCUCCCUUCGUCAGCGAGUCUGAAUUACGAUGUGUUCAAGGAAUAUAGUCAAGACUAAAAUAUUUGCAUUUGCUUUCAGUACCUUUGCUCCACACAGAGUUAUAGGAAUAUAGUAAAGACUAAAAUGUGUGUUCAUCUGGAAGCCUAUAUAGACGCUAAACAAUAUUUUAGUGUGUCAUCACCUGCAUAGACUUUUCUCCCGUAAUAGUGUGCUUCCAGUUUGUUGGUUCAUGGACGGUCAGAUGGUUGCAGCGUACCACCUGCUUCGCUGGAUCGACUUGAAUAGAUUGGCUGUUGAUGAUAUGUCUUUUAGGACCAGCAGCAGUGGUUUGAUUCAGAUGUAAAUCUCACUAUCGCUACAUCAGGGUCAAUAUGUUAGGUCUAAGAAGAGAAGCAAAGCUUCGUCCUUCCAUUACCCACUAUCACUAUAUAAAGUGGAUCACUUAUGCAUGUAUCAAUUAGAUUAUCUUUUUUUGUAUGAACUACUUUACCACGAAUUGAAUCUUGGAACGACUUACGAAAUAUUAAAAAAAACUAAAUAGCUUAUCAAUUCUUUUGGCGCGGCGUGCCGCCGCGCACUAUUCGCUAUCACUUACCAUGGCUCUAAAUUUUCCUGUUUGAUGCUUGUGGCCUUAAUAGCAAGAGAGACUUUCCACGGCUCUGGCUCUCAC